GAAUGCAAGAAAAUUUCAAGAAGAGUAUGAAGACAAAGAAAGAAGCUAGAAAACUGUUUCAAUAUCAGCAGUCAGGCCACGCCAGGAAGGGAUGAUCAGAAGGAGACAAGAGAGAUCCAGCAAGUCAGAAGACAUCAUCAACAGCAUUAACCAACUGUGCAUCUCAAAACUGAGCUAUCAUACAGGGAGCUGACUUCAUAGAUGACUGCACAAGUUAAAGAUAUCCUUGCCCAACUUCAGUUCCUGGACCAGAAGAGAAACGCUUGUUCACACCCUGUACUUAAAAGAGA
rnacentral:lncRNA from 1 species